rnacentral:lncRNA from 1 species
AAAAAAGGUUUGCUGGCUAACAGAUUUAAUAUGUUGAUAAUAUGUUGAAAAUAUUCUUUUUUUAGGUGUUUGUGUGUUGUACUGUGUGUUUGUUUAUACUGUGUGCUCUAGUGUGUGUGUGUGUGUGUGUGUGUGUGUGUGUGUGUGUGUGUGUGUGUGUGUGUCAGCGUCUUACAGUGUUUGACGUUUAGUCAGCAACUCUUGGUGAGUAAAACAAAAGCGGCUGAUUUUAAUCUGUACACACUGCCUGUGUUUUACUGUGUAACAUCAAAUAUAUUGUUUGCCAUUAUUUCCCAACUGACUUCCUGAAAUGCUUUUGUUCACACUGCACUCAAAUCCACUCUUCAGGACCGUCUGCGUGUCAUUUCUCAUCAGAUGUGUUUGAUCAGACAGUGUAGUUAAGAUCAGGUGUAUCUAUAGUAAUAACAUUACUAUUAUUAUUUUAAAUGUCACUGUGGAAAGAAAGGUCAAAAACAUCUGAAUUUAUGCAUUUAUGCUGUUUAAACUAUAGAAAAUGGAAUGAGUGGAUUUGAGUCAGAUACAACCCAAAAAUUAAUAAUGAUUUUCAUUUUCUGACUGAACAAAUCCUAUGCUAAAGGUGAAGUGUGUGAUUUCUGCAUCACCAAAUACAAUAAGCAACCAAUGUAAUAAUAAUAACAAUAACAAUAAUUGUAACAGAAAAGUACCCGCAAAAAAAAAUAAUAGUUUGCUUAAAGGAAAAUUACAUAAAAAAAAACAAAUCAGUUAUUAAAAAAAAAUCUGCCCUUGAAUUUUCCCUUGAAUAUAGUAUUAUAAAUAUUAAAAUAUAUUAUUAAAAUAUGAACAAGUUUGAGUCAGAUCAAAAAAUAAAAAAUAAAUAAACAAAUAAACAGCAAAAAUUAUUUUCUUCAUCAGUAUUUUUGUCUUAAUUUCCAGUAUAAAUAUGUAAACAUUUUUAAAUUAAUUUGAUCAAAUUUUUGCUAAUCAAAAUUUCAUUAAAUUUAAAUGACACAAGAUAUUAAGACUUUUUUGUUUUUUGUUUGUUUGUUUUUGUGUGUGUGUUUGUGCAUGUUUUUUAUGUAUCAAAAUGAAGUGUGGUCAGAAAAAAAAAAUUUUCCACCUUAAAUUAGGUUAUUUUUCUGGCCCCGCUGGCGGAUAUUUUGUCUAGUUUUAAGCAUAAACUUACUUCAUUUAGUUAAUUUUGUCAUAAAAAAAUAUUGCAUUUUGUUCAAUUUACCCUCUCAAUUAAUUGUAUUUUGAUUUAAUAAUAAAUAUAUAUGUGACCCUGGACCACAAAACCAAUCAUAAGGGUCAAUAUUUUGAAAUUGAGAUUUAUACAUCAUCUGAAAGCUGAAUAAAUAAGCUUUCCAUUUUCAUUUUCAUAGGACAAUAUUUGGCCGAGAUAUAACUAUUUGAAAAUCUGGAAUCUGAGGGUGCAAAAAAAAUCUAAAUAUUGAGAAAAUCGCCUUUAAAGUUGUUCAAAUGAAUUCUUAGCAAUGCAUAUUACUAAUCAAAAAUUAAGUUUUGAUAUAUUUACAGUAGGAAAUUUAAAAAAUAUCUUCAUGGAACAUGAUCUUUACUUAAUAGACCCCCCAAAUAUGACCAUCUUAAAAUUUAAAAGGUAUCUAUAGUUAGUCUAUCUAUUUUUAUAUAUAUACUUAUAUAUUACAUUAUUACAGUUACAUUAUGAUGUUGUGUUUCUACUCAUUACUGUACUGUACUGUUAAAUUUAUU